GGUCCAGGCGCCUCCGCUGGUGGUGCCGGCGGGCUGUUCGUAAGUGGCGAUGGAGCCAAGGCCGGAGAUUUCACUUUUGUGCUUGGAGCUGGCGCUGGAACCGCUGCUGGUGGAGAGGCGAGAGGAGCCGGUGGAGGAGUUGCGGGAGGAGGAGUUGCAGGUGGAGGAGUGGCCGGUGGGGGAGUGGCCGGUGGUGGAGUAGCCGGUGGAGGAGUGGCGGGCGGAGGGGUGGCCGGUGGAGGUGUUGCUGGUGGAGGGGUUGCUGGUGGAGGAGUGGCUGGUGGAGGAGUGGCCGGUGGUGGAGUGGCUGGGGGUGGAGUGGCCGGUGGUGGAGUGGCAGGCGGAGGAGUAGCCGGUGGCGGGGCUGAUACCGGAGGAGGAGACGAGGCGGGAGGAGAUGUAACAGCAGUUGGUGGUGACGCGGCGGGAGUUGUGGGGGUAGGAGGAGCUGGAGUGGCGGUGGGCCCUCCAGCGGGAGCCUGACCUCCAACGCCGGCGAAGACAAUGCAGACCA
rnacentral:lncRNA from 1 species